rfam:Schistosoma rodhaini strain Burundi genome assembly, scaffold: SROB_scaffold0009379
GCACUGCUGAAGAGUCUCAAGAUAGGACGGAACGACCGUCCAGUGC